rnacentral:rRNA from 1 species
UACGUAGGCAGCGAGCGUUUGUUCGGAAUUACUGGGCGUAAAGAGUGUGUAGGCGGUGUUCCCAGUCUGUUGUGAAAUCUCCCGGCUUAACUGGGAGGGUGCAGCGGAAACUAGAAUGCUAGAGGGUGGGAGAGGUAAGCGGAAUUCCUGGUGUAGCGGUGAAAUGCGUAGAUAUCAGGAGGAACACCUGUGGUGUAGACGGCUUUCUGGACCGUAGCUGACGCUGAGACACGAAAGCGUGGGUAGCAAACAGG